rnacentral:tRNA from 1 species
AGGAAUGUAGUAUAUAAUUAUAUUUGGUUUGGGGCUAAAAGAUACUAUAUUAAUAGUUAUUCCUA